rnacentral:lncRNA from 1 species
AGACCUUGAAGGGAAUCUUCUAAGGCAGGGAAGAAGCAGAGACUUGUAUCCACUGAACCAAAAUACAAGCGCAUACUAUGUCCAAGGCUGACCAGUUCUCUGGUGGUUCCUGCUACUGAUCCAUCCAAACUGCUGAACUUGUCCUUCAUACCCAAGGUCUUCAGGCAGUAUCUAAUGGGAAGUCAACUCUAAAAGGAACCAGACUGUCAUUUCCUGGCCCCUUUAUUCUGUAGCUACCUCUAUGUGAGGAAAGGAUAGAAAACAUUCAAGACAUCAUAUGGGCUUACGAUCUACAGAUUCCAACCAGUAGCAGUGGCUGACUCCUACACAGACGACUGGGAACUGCAAACAGGCUGGGGUCACCUCAGUGACAUCUGACGCUGUCCAACCAGAAGUCUGACUUGUGUGUGCGUGUGCUGCAGGAAUUGAAAAAUGUACU